rnacentral:rRNA from 1 species
AUAGACAACUAGGAUGUUGGCUUAGAAGCAGCCAUACAUUUAAAGAGUGCGUAAUAGCUCACUAGUCGAGAGAACCUGCGCCGAAAAUAAUCGGGGCUAAAACACACCACCGAAGCUACGGAUUUCCUGCUUAAGGUAGGAAGUGGUAGAGGAGCAUACUGCAAGGACGAAGCCUGAUUGAGAGAGAAGGUGGACGAAGCAGUAGAGAGAAUGCCGGAAUGAGUAGCGAGAUAUAUGUGAGAACCAUAUAGGCCGAAUAUCUAAGGAUUCCUGAGUGAAGCUAAUCUGCUCAGGGUAAGUCGGGACCUAAGGCGAGGACGAGAGUCGUAGUCGAUGGACAACUGGUAGAGAUUCCAGUACUAUGUAUAAUCAGAACUGUGGGGACGCAGGAGGAUAGAUGGACCGCGGAAAGGGAAGACGCGGCCAAGUACAAAGUCAAGUUAGGUAGGCAAAUCCGCCAAACGAUGAUGAAGUACGACGGGGACUGAAAGAAAGUAAGGAAGUCAUUGAAUCCACACUGCCGAGAAAAGCCGCUAUAGUGUUAUACAUACCCGUACCGUAAACCGACACAGGUAGAUGAGGAGAAAAUCCACAGGCCGACGGGAGAAGUGUUGUUAAGGAACUCGGCAAAAUGACCCCGUAACUUAGGGAGAAGGGGAGCCACGCAAGUGGCCGCAGAAAAGAGGCUCAAGCGACUGUUUAGCAAAAACACAGGUCUCUGCGAAACCGAAAGGUGAAGUAUAGGGGCUGACACCUGCCCGGUGCUGGAAGGUUAAAAGGAGAGGUUCGACGUAAGUCAAAGCUUUGAAUUCAAGCCCCAGUAAACGGCGGCCGUAACUAUAACGGUCCUAAGGUAGCGAAAUUCCUUGUCAGGUAAGUUCUGACCCGCACGAAAGGUGUAACGAUUUGAGCACUGUCUCGACAACACGCCCGGUGAAAUUGAAGAACCAGUGAAGAUACUGGUUACCCGCAACAGGACGGAAAGACCCCAUGGAGCUUUACUGCAGCCUGAUACUGGGAUUCGAUGAUAUAUGUACAGGAUAGGAGGGAGACUAGGAAUCCGGGACGCCAGUUUCGGAGGAGUCGACGGUGGGAUACCUCUCUUAUGUUAUUGGAUUUCUAACUUGGCACCGUGAUCCGGUGUGAGGACAAUGUCAGGCGGGCAGUUUGACUGGGGCGGUCGCCUCCUAAAAGGUAACGGAGGCGCUCGAAGGUCACCUCAGAAUGAUUGGAAACCAUUCAAAGAGUGUAAAGGCAAAAGGUGGCUUGACUGCGACACCGACGGGUGGAGCAGGUACGAAAGUAGGACUUAGUGAUCCGGUGGUAUUAAGUGGGAAUGCCAUCGCUCAACGGAUAAAAGCUACCCUGGGGAUAACAGGCUUAUCUCCCCCAAGAGUUCACAUCGACGGGGAGGUUUGGCACCUCGAUGUCGGCUCAUCGCAUCCUGGGGCUGAAGUAGGUCCCAAGGGUUGGGCUGUUCGCCCAUUAAAGCGGUACGCGAGCUGGGUUCAGAACGUCGUGAGACAGUUCGGUCCCUAUCCGUUGUGGGCGCAGGAAAUUUGAGAGGAGCUGUCCUUAGUACGAGAGGACCGGGAUGGACGUACCUCUGGUGUACCGGUUGCAGACCAACUGCACAGCCGGGUAGCUAUGUAUGGAACGGAUAAACGCUGAAGGCAUCUAAGCGUGAAGCCGCCCUCAAGAUAAGAUUUCCCAUUCU